GCUCACCAAGGCGACGACGGGUAGCCGGCCUGAGAGGGUGACCGGCCACACUGGGACUGAGACACGGCCCAGACUCCUACGGGAGGCAGCAGUGGGGAAUAUUGCACAAUGGGCGAAAGCCUGAUGCAGCGACGCCGCGUGAGGGAUGACGGCCUUCGGGUUGUAAACCUCUUUCAGUAGGGAAGAAGCGAAAGUGACGGUACCUGCAGAAGAAGCGCCGGCUAACUACGUGCCAGCAGCCGCGGUAAUACGUAGGGCGCAAGCGUUAUCCGGAUUUAUUGGGCGUAAAGAGCUCGUAGGCGGUUUGUCGCGUCUGCCGUGAAAGUCCGAGGCUCAACCUCGGAUCUGCGGUGGGUACGGGCAGACUAGAGUGAUGUAGGGGAGACUGGAAUUCCUGGUGUAGCGGUGAAAUGCGCAGAUAUCAGGAGGAACACCGAUGGCGAAGGCAGGUCUCUGGGCAUCUACUGACGCUGAGGAGCGAAAGCAUGGGGAGCGAACAGGAUUAGAUACCCUGGUAGUCCAUGCCGUAAACGUUGGGCACUAGGUGUGGGGAACAUUCCACGUUUUCCGCGCCGUAGCUAACGCAUUAAGUGCCCCGCCUGGGGAGUACGGCCGCAAGGCUAAAACUCAAAGGAAUUGACGGGGGCCCGCACAAGCGGCGGAGCAUGCGGAUUAAUUCGAUGCAACGCGAAGAACCUUACCAAGGCUUGACAUGCACCGGAAACACUCAGAGAUGGGUGCCCCGCAAGGUCGGUGCACAGGUGGUGCAUGGUUGUCGUCAGCUCGUGUCGUGAGAUGUUGGGUUAAGUCCCGCAACGAGCGCAACCCUCGUCCCAUGUUGCCAGCGGGUUAUGCCGGGGACUCAUGGGAGACUGCCGGGGUCAACUCGGAGGAAGGUGGGGAUGACGUCAUAUCAUCAUGCCCCUUAUGUCUUGGGCUUCACGCAUGCUACAAUGGCCGGUACAGAGGGCUGCGAUACCGUAAGGUGGAGCGAAUCCCAAAAAGCCGGUCUCAGUUCGGAUUGGGGUCUGCAACUCGACCCCAUGAAGUCGGAGUCGCUAGUAAUCGCAGAUCAGCAACGCUGCGGUGGAUACGUUCCCGGGCCUUGUACACACCGCCCGUCAAGUCACGAAAGUUGGUAACACCCGAAGCUCACG
rnacentral:rRNA from 1 species